UACAGAGGGUGCAAGCGUUGUCCGGAGUUACUGGGCGUAAAGCGCACGCAGGCGGUCUGCUAAGUUUGGAGUGACAGUUGGUGGCUUAACUGCCAAAGUGCUUCGAAAACUGACAGACUUGAGGGCUUCAGAGGGACACGGAAUUCCGGGUGGAGUGGUGAAAUGCGUAGAGAUCCGGAGGAACACCAAAGGCGAAGGCAGUGUCCUGGGGAGUACCUGACGCUCGAGGUGCGAAAGCCAGGGGAGCGAACGGG
rnacentral:rRNA from 1 species